rnacentral:lncRNA from 1 species
GAUGAAUGAAUGAAUGAUGAUGAUGAUUGUUGGAAAUUAUAGGGCAGCGGAAACUUACAAACCGGAUAGCCAACGUAUCCGAGAACCCAAAUUUGGAUCGGUUCGCCUGUUUUACAAGCCUUCUUAGAUAGUCCUUGCCUCGAUACUUCUGGAUCUCCCACGUUUUUCGCUUUCUCCUUCGCGUACUUGCCUCGAUACUUCUGGAUCUCCCACGUUUUUCGCUUUUUCCUUCGCGUACGCCUUAUGCCACGGAUCGGAUGCGGAUCUGAUGCGACGGAUGCCGAUCGAAGAGGGCUACCAGAGUCCUCUUCUAUGUCCACACUCCAAAAUUCCGGAAACGUAGGUGGAAAUCCCAGAGGAAGAAGAGAGAGAAUAAGAAAGAUAUUUCGUGGGUUCUUACGAAUUUUGAUCGUAUUCUAUCGUCCUUCAUGAGAGAAAACAAGGGGACGUAUUUAUAGAAUAACAAACCCCUAAAUAUCCUGAAUCUCAUAAGGAUUAGAAAAUCUAUUAACAUGUAAUAGAUAUGCGCUAAUAGAUACGUUUCUUAACUGAUAAGAAAUAUAUAAUUUAUUUUUAUUCUAAAUCCAUUAGGAUAAAUCACAAUCCACAUCUUAAGUAGAUCGGGUUAAAUUAAAAUCCGCCAAUGUGGACAUACUGUAUGGCUACAAUGAUGAUGAUUCCUUUCUU